GAUGAACGCUGGCGGCGUGCCUAAUACAUGCAAGUAGAACGCUGAAGGAGGAGCUUGCUCUUUCCGGAUGAGUUGCGAACGGGUGAGUAACGCGUAGGUAACCUGCCUGGUAGCGGGGGAUAACUAUUGGAAACGAUAGCUAAUACCGCAUAACAGUAGAUAUUGCAUGAUAUUUGCUUGAAAGGGGCAAUUGCUCCACUACCAGAUGGACCUGCGUUGUAUUAGCUAGUUGGUGAGGUAACGGCUCACCAAGGCGACGAUACAUAGCCGACCUGAGAGGGUGAUCGGCCACACUGGGACUGAGACACGGCCCAGACUCCUACGGGAGGCAGCAGUAGGGAAUCUUCGGCAAUGGACGGAAGUCUGACCGAGCAACGCCGCGUGAGUGAAGAAGGUUUUCUGAUCGUAAAGCUCUGUUGUAAGAGAAGAACGAGUGUGAGAGUGGAAAGUUCACACUGUGACGGUAUCUUACCAGAAAGGGACGGCUAACUACGUG
rnacentral:rRNA from 1 species